rnacentral:rRNA from 1 species
AACGCGAAGAACCUUACCAGGUCUUGACAUCCUCUGACAAUCCUAGAGAUAGGACGUCCCCUUCGGGGGCAGAGUGACAGGUGGUGCAUGGUUGUCGUCAGCUCGUGUCGUGAGAUGUUGGGUUAAGUCCCGCAACGAGCGCAACCCUUGAUCUUAGUUGCCAUCAUUUAGUUGGGCACUCUAAGGUGACUGCCGGUGACAAACCGGAGGAAGGUGGGGAUGACGUCAAAUCAUCAUGCCCCUUAUGACCUGGGCUACACACGUGCUACAAUGGACGGUACAAAGAGCUGCAAGACCGCGAGGUGGAGCUAAUCUCAUAAAACCGUUCUCAGUUCGGAUUGUAGGCUGCAACUCGCCUACAUGAAGCUGGAAUCGCUAGUAAUCGCGGAUCAGCAUGCCGCGGUGAAUACGUUCCCGGGCCUUGUACACACCG